rnacentral:rRNA from 1 species
UACGUAGGGUGCAAGCGUUGUCCGGAAUUAUUGGGCGUAAAGGGCGCGUAGGCGGCCACCGCAAGUCGGUUGUGAAAUCUCUGGGCUUAACCCAGAAAGGUCAACCGAUACUGCGGGGCUAGAGUGCAGAAGGGGCAACUGGAAUUCUCGGUGUAGCGGUGAAAUGCGUAGAUAUCGAGAGGAACACCUGCGGCGAAGGCGGGUUGCUGGGCUGAUACUGACGCUGAGGCGCGAAAGCCAGGGGAGCGAACGGG